rnacentral:rRNA from 1 species
UACGUAGGGUGCGAGCGUUGUCCGGAAUCAUUGGGCGUAAAGAGCUCGUAGGCGGCCUGUCGCGUCGGAUGUGAAAACCCGGGGCUCAACCUCGGGCCUGCAUUCGAUACGGGCAGGCUGGAGUUCGGCAGGGGAGACUGGAAUUCCUGGUGUAGCGGUGAAAUGCGCAGAUAUCAGGAGGAACACCGGUGGCGAAGGCGGGUCUCUGGGCUGAUACUGACGCUGAGGAGCGAAAGCGUGGGGAGCGAACAGG